rnacentral:rRNA from 1 species
GAUGAACGCUGGCGGCGUGCCUAAUACAUGCAAGUCGAACGGGGAGUAGCAAUACUUCUAGUGGCGAACGGGUGAGUAACGCGUUGGUGACCUGCCCCGAAGCGUGGGAUACCAAUCCGAAAGGAUUGCUAAUACCGCAUGGAGUUCUCGAGAUUAGAGGCUUGGGAACGAAAGGAGACAUUCACUUCGGGAGGGGCCUGCGUCCCAUCAGCUAGUUGGUGAGGUAACGGCUCACCAAGGCGAUGACGGUAGGGGACCUGAGAGGGUGGCCCCCCACAAUGGAACUGAAACACGGUCCAUACACCUACGGGUGGCAGCAGUAGGGAAUAUUGCAAAAUGGGCGCAAGCCCGAUGCAGCAACGGCCGCGUGGACGAUGAAGG